UAAUCAUGGGACUGCCGGUGGCCAUCUUU
rnacentral:piRNA from 1 species